UAGGGAAUCUUCCGCAAUGGACGCAAGUCUGACGGAGCAACGCCGCGUGAGCGAUGAAGGUCUUCGGAUCGUAAAGCUCUGUUGUAAGGGAAGAACAAGUACCAUUCGAAUAGGGUGGUACCUUGACGGUACCUUACCAGAAAGCCACGGCUAACUACGUG
rnacentral:rRNA from 1 species